AUUGAACGCUGGCGGCAGGCCUAACACAUGCAAGUCGAGCGGCAGCGGGAAAGUAGCUUGCUACUUUUGCCGGCGAGCGGCGGACGGGUGAGUAAUGCCUGGGAAAUUGCCCAGUCGAGGGGGAUAACAGUUGGAAACGACUGCUAAUACCGCAUACGCCCUACGGGGGAAAGCAGGGGACCUUCGGGCCUUGCGCGAUUGGAUAUGCCCGGGUGGGAUUAGCUAGGUGGUGAGGUAAUGGCUCACCAAGGCGACGAUCCCUAGCUGGUCUGAGAGGAUGAUCAGCCACACUGGAACUGAGACACGGUCCAGACUCCUACGGGAGGCAGCAGUGGGGAAUAUUGCACAAUGGGGGAAACCCUGAUGCAGCCAUGCCGCGUGUGUGAAGAAGGCCUUCGGGUUGUAAAGCACUUUCAGCGAGGAGGAAAGGUUGAUGCCUAAUACGUAUCAACUGUGACGUUACUCGCAGAAGAAGCACCGGCUAACUCCGUGCCAGCAGCCGCGGUAACAC
rnacentral:rRNA from 1 species